rnacentral:rRNA from 1 species
GUGAGGAAUUUUCCGCAAUGGGCGAAAGCCUGACGGAGCAAUGCCGCGUGAAGGAUGAAGGCCUAUGGGUUGUAAACUUCUUUUCUCAGAAAAGAAUUAUGACGGUAUCUGAGGAAUAAGCAUCGGCUAACUCUGUGCCAGCAGCCGCGGUAAGACAGAGGAUGCAAGCGUUAUCCGGAAUGAUUGGGCGUAAAGCGUCUGUAGGUUGUUUAAAAAGUAUUCUGUAAAAGAUUAGGGCUUAACCCUAGAUAGGCAGAAUAAACUUUUAAGCUAGAGUUUGGUAGAGGCAGAGGGAAUUCCCGGUGGAGCGGUGAAAAGCGUAGAUAUCGGGAGGAACACCAAAGGCGAAGGCACUCUGCUGGGCCAAUACUAACACUGAGAGACGAAAGCGAGGGGAGCAAAUGGGAUUAGAAACCCGGGUAGUCC